CUGCGAUGAUGUGUUUCUUAGGACACCUUUGGAUUGACCAUGAAAAUAAAUCCAUUUCUGAGCAGC
ensembl:snoRNA SNORD58 Small nucleolar RNA SNORD58